AUGAACGCUGGCGGCGUGCUUAACACAUGCAAGUCGAACGAACCUUCGGGUUAGUGGCGGACGGGUGAGUAACGCGUGAGAAUCUGCCCUCAGGAGGGGGAUAACGGCUGGAAACGGCCGCUAAUACCCCAUAUGCCGAGAGGUGAAACGAGUUUUCGCCUGAGGAUGAGCUCGCGUCUGAUUAGCUAGUUGGUGAGGUAAGGGCUCACCAAGGCAUCGAUCAGUAGCUGGUCUGAGAGGAUGAUCAGCCACACUGGGACUGAGACACGGCCCAGACUCCUACGGGAGGCAGCAGUGGGGAAUUUUCCGCAAUGGGCGAAAGCCUGACGGAGCAACGCCGCGUGAGGGAUGAAGGCCUCUGGGCUGUAAACCUCUUUUCUCAAGGAAGAAGAUCUGACGGUACUUGAGGAAUAAGCCACGGCUAAUUCCGUGCCAGCAGCCGCGGUAAUACGGGAGUGGCAAGCGUUAUCCGGAAUUAUUGGGCGUAAAGCGUCCGCAGGCGGCCUUUUAAGUCUGUUGUCAAAGCGUGGAGCUUAACUCCAUUUCGGCAAUGGAAACUGGGAGGCUUGAGUGUGGUAGGGGCAGAGGGAAUUCCCGGUGUAGCGGUGAAAUGCGUAGAUAUCGGGAAGAACACCAGUGGCGAAGGCGCUCUGCUGGGCCCAUAACUGACGCUCAUGGACGAAAGCCAGGGGAGCGAAAGGGAUUAGAUACCCCUGUAGUCCUGGCCCGUAAACGAUGAACACUAGGUGUCGGGGGAAUCGACCCCCUCGGUGUCGUAGCCAACGCGUUAAGUGUUCCGCCUGGGGAGUACGCACGCAAGUGUGAAACUCAAAGGAAUUGACGGGGGCCCGCACAAGCGGUGGAGUAUGUGGUUUAAUUCGAUGCAACGCGAAGAACCUUACCAGGGUUUGACAUCCUGCGAAUCCCUUGGAAACGAGGGGGUGCCUUCGGGAGCGCAGAGACAGGUGGUGCAUGGCUGUCGUCAGCUCGUGUCGUGAGAUGUUGGGUUAAGUCCCGCAACGAGCGCAACCCACGUCUUUAGUUGCCAGCAUUCAGUUGGGCACUCUAGAGAGACCGCCGGUGAUAAACCGGAGGAAGGUGUGGAUGACGUCAAGUCAUCAUGCCCCUUACAUCCUGGGCUACACACGUACUACAAUGCUACGGACAAAGGGCAGCAAACUCGCGAGAGCUAGCAAAUCCCAUAAACCGUGGCUCAGUUCAGAUCGUAGGCUGCAACUCGCCUACGUGAAGGAGGAAUCGCUAGUAAUCGCAGGUCAGCAUACUGCGGUGAAUACGUUCCCGGGCCUUGUACACACCGCCCGUCACACCAUGGAAGUUGGCCACGCCCGAAGCCGUUACUCCAACCCUUGUGGAGGAGGACGUCGAAGGUGGGGCUGAUGACUGGGGUGA
rnacentral:rRNA from 1 species